rnacentral:rRNA from 1 species
CCCGCUGAACUUAAGCAUAUCAAUAAGCGGAGGAAAAGAAACUAACAAGGAUUCCCCUAGUAACUGCGAGUGAACCGGGAAAAGCUCAAAUUUUGAAUCUGGCGGUCUUCAGGCCGUCCGAGUUGUAAUCUAGAGAAGCGUCUUCCGCGCUGGACCGUGUAUAAGUUUCCUGGAAUGGAACGUCGUAGAGGGUGAGAAUCCCGUCUUUGACACGGACUGCCAGGGCUAUGUGAUGCGCUCUCGGCGAGUCGAGUUGUUUGGGAAUGCAGCUCAAAUAGGGUGGUAAAUUCCAUCUAAAGCUAAAUACAGGCGAGAGACCGAUAGCGAACAAGUACCGUGAGGGAAAGAUGAAAAGAACUUUGAAAAGAGAGUUAAACAGUACGUGAAAUUGUUGAAAGGGAAACGCUUGAAGUCAGUCGUGUCUUUCAGGGAUCAAGUUGCCCCUUUGGGGGUGACCGCACUUCCUGUUGGAUGGGUCAGCAUCAAUUUUGACUGUUGGAUAAAGGCCUAGGUAAUGUGGCAUCUUCGGAUGUGUUAUAGACUUGGGUUGGAUACAACGAUUGGGAUUGAGGAACUCAGUGUGGCCUUUUAUGGUUGCACUCAGGAUGCUGGCAUAAUGGCUUUAAUCGACCCGUCUUGAAACACGG